AACCAUUAGAAAAAUGAAAGGGUUCUAGUUUAUAUAUGUGCAGUUUUGUUUUCAUAUCCGUUAAACUUUGGAAGGUAUUACAUACAUGAUAAUUUGUGAAUAGUUUAACAUGAUUUAGGAAUGAUACUUUAACUUUAUGAAGUGAAAAUAGAUAUUCAGGAGGCUGGAUUGUCAACAACGUACCAAUUAGAACUAUCUAAAAGAAGAUGAUGUCGAUUGCUUUCCUGCUAAUAUUUCAAGUUUUCUUUGUUUCAAAAGUUAUUCAUGGCCAAUGUACUAGCAAUGGUACAUGCGUCUGUCACUGUGGCAACUGUACUUCUGGAUGUGACGCCUGUUUACCUGGAUGGAGCGGAUCAAUAAUCAAUCAUUGCCAAAAAUCUAACACUUUUUACGACAAAGCUUCUGAGAAUACAACACUUUUGGAUGGCGAUUUUGAUACUUAUGUUGAGGAUAACAGCAUUCCUCCAUAUAUACGCGUUGAAUUCCAAACUAUUUUCGAACUUCGUCAAGUUGACGUUACCCUUGAACUUGCAGAAAAGAUUAUGUACACGGUGUAUGUUAAAUCUGACCCAUAUAGAAGAUCUGAGUCGAUAAUAUGUAGCAGCUUCACAAGUGGAUAUGUCAGCAUGAAGAAAACUGUCACCGUCACGUGUAAUACACCUCUUCAAGGAAAGUUCAUUGAAAUUGUUGCAUCGAGUUUACCAAGAACAACCCUAAAAGUGUUCGAAAUUGAGCGGUUCGAAUGUUCAAAUGGCACGUACGGCGAAAAUUGUUCCGGGAUUUGCUCAGCAGGAUGUAACAAACAGUGUGAUAAAGAAACAGGUGACUGCGUUUGUAAAAUUGGUUACUGGGGAAGGUUUUGUAACAGGACAUGUCCAUUGCAUUGUAUUAAAAACCUGUGUGACUCGAAUACAGGCGAUUGUUACAGCUGUAACAACGGAUAUUAUGGAGUGAAAUGCCAAGACCGUUGUGCUGUGGGGUGUCUGGAGUCUUGUAACAUGGCAUCAGGCUUAUGCUUUUGUAAACCGGGCUUUUAUUCGGCAAAUUGCUCGUUGCAAUGUCAAUCAAACUGUGCACAGAAUGAGUGUCUUCAAGAAACGGGGCACUGUAGUAGGUGUGAAAAUGGAUGGUUUGGUGUAAAAUGUGAAUCAAAUUGCAGCCGUUGUGGGGGAAACGGUUCGUGUGACAUUAAAACAGGUGAUUGUUAUUUGUGCUCUGUAGGGUAUUUUGGGAACUCGUGCAAUAAGAAAUGUAACGAAUUUUGUGACUCAAGUAAACCAUGUAACAAGAUUACUGGAAAAUGUCAGAACUGUAAACCUGGUAGAUAUGGAGAAUAUUGUACAGAAUUUUGUAGCAGAACUUGUAAAAACUUGAAAUGUUUUAGCAAUCAAUCAUGCGUGAAUGGGUGUGAAGAUGGUUUUUUUGGUAGUCACUGCGAUAGUCCUUGUAGUGCCGCUGUUCCAAGUUGAAACCAAUGUGAGCUCGUCAACAAUGUUCCUGUUUGUCAACGUUGUGCUGAUCCAUUGUAUCUAGAUGGAUCAGCUUGUUUUGAAUGCCCUGACUAUUGUUCAUCUUGUAGCUCAAGUGUAAAAUGUCUGGAGUGUAAAACUAAACGUUUCUAUGGCGACACUUGUAACCUAACAUGUAACAAAGAUUGUCUGAACAGGACAUGCGAUAUAACAGGCCAUGGAUGUGACGACGGCAAAUAUGGCAGUAGAUGUGACCAGGAUUGUCCGAGCGGGUGCAGGACUUGUCACAAUUCAUCCGUGUGUUUUGAAGGUGAGAAUGGUCAUGAGAAAUUAUGUAAUAAAUGUUCAAGAAGAAAAAAAUUGAUUUUAAACUGCAAAUCUUAUACGUAAAUUCUCCCAAUAAUUUUCAUUUUUUCGCUUUUAUUAUGAAUAUGCAUUCUUUAUCUAUGUAUAACAAAUCUAAAAAAUUUAUAUGCAUCAUAUCUUUUGACAUCCUAUAUCGAAUUCAAACGUAAGAUAAUGAGAAAAUGUUUCUAUAAGAACAUUUCUUAGCUUUAUCAAAUUGGUCUUUACGGACGAUAUAACAUUAUCGCGCAAUAUUUGAAUUCUUCGACGCGUGGCUUUACAACGUGUUUGGUAUAGAUAGUAUGACUGUACAGAUAGAGAAAAUUUCAGGUAUGUAUUAAAACUGCUGAUCCGAGGUAAGUUUAACAAUGAAAUUCUUUUUUAUUCAAUGUUCACUACCUUCAUAACCCGUAUAAAUAAUAACAUUUUAUCUUUAUAUUUACAUAUCUCAAUGUUUUAUAUGGCAAGUCCUGACAAUCUUUAUUUACCCAUUGUUGAGUGUUUUGGUAAGGAUGAUUUGCAUAAUUUUCUAUCCUAAAUAAAAAAGUUUCCAGCAACGAAAACGCGCGUCUAUGCGUAAGGAAAAAAAAGGUCACCGAAAAAACAAAAACACCCCCCCCCCC
rnacentral:misc_RNA from 1 species